rnacentral:rRNA from 1 species
GAUGAACGCUGGCGGCGUGCCUAAUACAUGCAAGUCGAGCGAACGGACGAGAAGCUUGCUUCUCUGAUGUUAGCGGCGGACGGGUGAGUAACACGUGGAUAACCUACCUAUAAGACUGGGAUAACUUCGGGAAACCGGAGCUAAUACCGGAUGAUAUUUUGAACCGCAUGGCUCAAAAGUGAAAGACGGUCUUGCUGUCACUUAUAGAUGGAUCCGCGCUGCAUUAGCUAGUUGGUAAGGUAACGGCUUACCAAGGCAACGAUGCAUAGCCGACCUGAGAGGGUGAUCGGCCACACUGGAACUGAGACACGGUCCAGACUCCUACGGGAGGCAGCAGUAGGGAAUCUUCCGCAAUGGGCGAAAGCCUGACGGAGCAACGCCGCGUGAGUGAUGAAGGUCUUCGGAUCGUAAAACUCUGUUAUUAGGGAAGAACAUAUGUGCAAGUAACUGUGCACAUCUUGACGGUACCUAAUCAGAAAGCCACGGCUAACUACGUG